CACCGCUGACAUCGGUUUCGAACCGUGUUCCGAUUUCUGUCCCUGUCGUUUCGUUUGUCAGUUUCAGAACUCCGUAUGUCGUCCCCUUGAACUCACCCUCAUGCCUCUGAGACUUGCUAAUGUUAUGUAGUUCAUUUUAAAGUUUCGGAUGAGCCCUUCAUUGUGCCGAUACGGCACAAUGUGUUUCGUCAUUGUUCUGUUGAUGCAUAUUGGGCAUAUUUCCAGAUUUUGCAUAUCUUGAAUAAAGCUAGCAUGUUUUCAUUUCUCCUGGGUAAAUACCGAGAAGAAAAGCUGCUGCGUAAUUGGGAAAAAUCCCAAGACCCAGCACCUGGGAAGGCAGGGGGUGAGAGAGGAGAAGAGUAUUCAUCUUUGUUUUUCAAAGCUCCUUCUGGAAGUUUUCUUUCUCCCAAAGAACAAAAAAGAACACAGCAGCUUGCCUUUCAAAGCCACUUUGCUCUUGGAAUUUCAACUGGCUGCUGGGCCUAUGAUCACUCCUGACAGGAACAACAGCUCAGGGUGCUGGACCCAUGCUCCAGCACUUGUCACACAGCACACCUCCAGAUGCCAUUCAGACUCUUGAGAUGGAUAAAGUGAUGCUGCGGACAAACAAACCUACCUGAAAUUGACUGCCUUCAGGCAGUGCCUCUGAAGCCAAGAACUUAACUGAAUUAUUUGAACGGGACUGGCAACCUGAGAAUGCAGGCCUCAUUUCUGGGAGGCCACAGUAGGAGCCCUAUUAAUCUGCUGUUAUGAUAUGGACCAAAGCUGGCCUCUGUAUAUUUGCUUAACUUGACCCCCAAGUUCUUUACUUCUUCACAGCAGGCCAGGACCUUUUGCCCAAAGCCCACCAGUGCCAAACCCAAAUUCUCACAUAUCCAAUUGCUUUCAAUAGUUCAAAUAUUUUUUUUGGCCAUGUAGAGUCUACCUACUUUGCAUACCCCAUGAAACUCCCCACUCUGCCGCUAAGCAACAUCCCUUAGACAUCACCUCAAAACGUAAGUUGCCUUUAUUUCCCCUUCUCUCCUGGUAGGUUCCUUAUCCUUUUUGCCUUCUGGGUAGUGGCCUCAUGCUGCUGCUAGUGAGGGAACUGCCCUCUCAUGCAACCCUGUCCAGAUGCUACCCAAUAAACUUGUUAUGUAUUACUGUC